GACGAACGCUGGCGGCGUGCCUAAUACAUGCAAGUUGAGCGCUGAAGGUUGGUACUUGUUCCGCCGGGGUGAGCAGCGGACGGGUGAGUAACGCGUGGAGAAUCUGCCUUUGAGCGGGGGACAACAUCUGGAAACGAAUGCUAAUACCGCAUAAAAACUUUAAACACAUGUUUUAAGAUUGAAAGAUGCAUUUGCAUCACUCAAUGAUGAUACCGCGUUGUAUUAGCUAGUUGGUGAGGUUAAGGCUCACCAAGGCGAUGAUACAUAGCCGACCUGAGAGGGUGAUCGGCCCCAUUGGGAACUGGGCCACGCCCAAACCUCCAAGGGGAGGAGCAGUAGGGGAUCUUCGGCAAUUGACGAAAGUCUGACCGAGCAAAGCCGGGUGAGUGGAGAAGGGUCUCGGAUCGUAAAACUCUUUUGGUAGGGGAGGACGUUGGUGGGAGUGAAAAGCUCAUCAAGUGACGGUAACUAACCAGAAAGGGACGGCUAACUACGUG
rnacentral:rRNA from 1 species